AUAAAGUUUAAUUUUAGUUUGAAGAAUUGUUUAGUUUUUUAUUUACAUGUAAAUUUUAGUAAGAAUUUGAAAUAAAUUUAGAAAAUUUAUUUUAAUUUUUUAUUCGCAGUAUAAAAAUUUAUUAAUUUAAGAGAUUAGGAAUUAUAAAUAAACUUUAAUAUUAACAAAAUUUGUGCCAGCAGUUGCGGUUAUACAAAAAAUAUAAAUAAUUUGUAUUGGUUUAUAAUAAGAUUAUUUUUUUUAAUAAAUAUAGAAUUUAUAAGGUGAAAUUUUAAAUUUAAAAUAAUUAUAUGGAAAAGUUAUUGAUAUUAUGAAAUUUUAGGUUUAGACUAGGAUUAGAUACCCUAUUAUUUAGAAUGUAAAUUUAAAAUCAAAGUAGUAGUAGAUAUGAUCUUAAAAUUUAAAGAUUUUGGCAGUAUUUUAGUCUAUUCAGAGGAACCUGUUCUAUAAUUGAUAGUCCACAAUAAAUUAUACUUAAUUUUGAAAUUUGUAUAUCGUCGUUAUUAAAUAUUUUAAAAGAAUGAGAAUGUUUAAGAUUUUAAAUUUAAUAAUAUAUCAGAUCAAGGUGCAGUUUAUUAUUAAGGAGAAAUGGGUUACAAUAAAUUUAUUUAUAAUGAAUUUAUAUAUAAAAAUUUAUAAUGAAAGAGGAUUUGAUAGUAAUAAAAUUUAGAUUAAUUUUUUGAUUAAAGCUCUAAAAUGUGUACAUAUUGCCCGUCGCUUUUAUUAUAAAAUAAAAUAAGUCGUAACAAAGUAGAUGUACUGGAAAGUGUAUCUAGAAAGGC
rnacentral:ncRNA from 1 species